GACAGUGAACACAGUCACACUUUGAUCCACUUGUUAGAUAGUUAUGUGUCGUGGCAAAAAAAGAAAAGAAAAAAAAAUCAUAAGCUUAACAAGUUUAGUUUGUAAUCAGAUACAGGCUGCACCUAUGCUGCAGUCAGAAGAUGAGCCUUAAAUGCGAUUUAAAAAUUGAACAAGUAAACAUCGGACCUCUGACCAAAUGGCAUAAAAAAAAAACCCUGAUGUAAGUGUAACGCCUCCAUUAGGUCGCCAGGACACCGCGACUUAAUGGAUGCCCAGAUGAGUCAUACAAAGGAAAACAUAGACCAGUACUCUAGGUUCAGCAGUAGAGAUUGAAUGGAAUAAACAGACAGGCAACAAAGUUGAGACAGCGAGUCGGACUUUCUGACUGGGGUCUCCCAGUCCAGGAUCCAGGAUCCAGUUGCAAAGGGAGGUGGUCAGACCCAGCAGGCUCAGCUUUGUUAUCAG
ensembl:lncRNA